rnacentral:rRNA from 1 species
AUUGAACGCUGGCGGAAUGCUUUACACAUGCAAGUCGAACGGCAGCACGGACUUCGGUCUGGUGGCGAGAGGCGAACGGGUGAGUAAUGUAUCGGAACGUGCCCAGUCGCGGGGGAUAACGUAGUGAAAAUUACGCUAAUACCGCAUACGAUCUAUGGAUGAAAGCGGGGGAUCGUAAGACCUCGCGCGAUUGGAGUGGCCGAAAUCAGAUUAGGUAGUUGGUGGGGUAAAGGCCCACCAAGCCAACGAUCUGUAGCUGGUCUGAGAGGACGACCAGCCACACUGGAACUGAGACACGGUCCAGACUCCUACGGGAGGCAGCAGUGGGGAAUUUUGGACAAUGGGCGAAAGCCUGAUCCAGCCAUUCCGCGUGCAGGAUGAAGGCCCUCGGGUUGUAAACUGCUUUAGUACAGAACGAAAAGGUUUCUACUAAUACUAGGAGCUCAUGACGGUACUGUAAGAAUAAGCACCGGCUAACUACGUGCCAGCCGCCGCAGUAA